GGAAGCGUGGCCGAGUGGUCGAAGGCGCUUGCUUGGAGUGCAAGUGUGCGGGAAACCGCACCGGGGGUUCGAAUCCCUCCGCUUCCG
rnacentral:tRNA from 1 species